rnacentral:rRNA from 1 species
AUAUUUUAAAUAGCCGCAGAUAUUCUGUGCUAAGGUAGCAUAAUCAUUUGCUUUCUAAUUAAAAGCUAGAAUGAAAGGUUUAACGUUUUAAUUUCUUUUUUAUUUAUAUCUUAUUAAAAUUUUAUUAAAUAUAAAAAUAUAUUUAUACAUUAAAUAGACGACAAGACCCUGUUGAACUUAACUUUAGUUUAGCUGGGGCAGCUUAUUAAUUAUAAUUUUAAUUAAAUUUUAUUUAAUGAAUUAUCCAAUAUAAUUGAUUAAUUUAUCAAGUUACCACAGGGAUAACAGCGUAAUAUUAAUUUAAAGUUCAUAUUAAAAUUAAUGUUUGCGACCUCGAUGUUGAAUUAUAAUUCUAUAUUAACGCAAUAGUUAUAAAAGUAGGUCUGUUCGACCUUUAAUAUUUUACA